AUAACGACUCUCGGCAACGGAUAUCUCGGCUCUCGCAUCGAUGAAGAACGUAGCGAAAUGCGAUACUUGGUGUGAAUUGCAGAAUCCCGUGAACCAUCGAGUCUUUGAACGCAAGUUGCGCCCGAAGCCAUUUGGCCGAGGCACGUCUGCCUGGGCGUCACGC
rnacentral:rRNA from 1 species